rnacentral:rRNA from 1 species
CUAGCGCUUUUCCUUGGGUCGUUACACUGCCCUAUCAACUUUCGAUGGUAGGAUAGUGGCCUACUAUGGUGGUGACGGGUUAUAGAGAAUUAGGGUUCGAUUUCGGAAAGGGAGCCUGAGAAACAACUACCACAUCCAAGGAAGACAGCAGGCACGCAAAUUACCCAAUCCUGACAUGGGGAGGUAGUGACAAUAAAUAACAACACCGAGCUCUUACAAGUCUGGUAAUUGGAAUGUGUACAAUCUAUAUCCCUUAACAAAGAUCCAUUGAAGGGCAAGUCUGGUGCCAACAGCCGCAAUAAUUCCAUCUCCAAUAGCAUAUAUUUAAGUUUUUAUAGUUAAAAAGCUCGUAGUUGAACCUUGGGUUGGGCAGAGCGGUCCGCCCCUAGUGUGCACCAGUCUACUCGUCCCUUCUACCGGCGAUGUGCUCCUAGCCUUAACUGGCCGGGUCAUGCCUUUGGUGCUGUUACUUUGAAGAAAUUAGAGUGCUCAAAGCAAGCCUACGCUUUGGAUACAUUAGCAUGGGAUAACAUCAUAGGAUUUCGGUCUCUGUUGGCCUUCGGGAUCAGAGUAAUGAUUAGCAUGAAAUUCUUCGAUUUAUGAAAGAACAACAACUGCGAAAGCAUUUGCCAACCAUAAAUGAUCAGAUAUCGUCCUAGUCUCAACCAUAAACGAUGUUGACCAGGGAUCGGCGGAUGUUACUUAUAGGACUCUGCCGGCACCUUAUGAGAAAUCGAAGUCCUUAUAUUCUGGGGGGAGUAUGGUCGCAAGGCUGAAACUUAAAGGAAUUGACGAAAGGGCACCACCAUAAGUGGACCCUAUGGCUUAAUUGGACUCAACACGAGGAAACUUACUAGGUCCGGACAUAGUAAGGAUUGACAGACUGAGAGCUCUUUCUUGAUUCUAUGGGUGGUGGUGCAUGGUCGUUCUUAGUUGGUGGAGUGAUUUGUCUGGUUAGUUCCGUUAACGAACGAAACCUUAGCCUGCUAACUAGCUAUGCGAAGGUGAUCCUCCGCAACUGCUUCUUAAAGGGACUAUGGCCGCUUAGGCCAAGGAAGUUUAAGGAAAUAACAGGUCUGUGAUGCCUUUAGAUGUUCUGGGCUGCACACACGCUACACUGAUGUAUUCAACGAGUUUAUAGCCUUGGCUGACACGCCUGGGUAAUCUUUGAAAUUUCAUCGUGAUGGGGAUAGAUCAUUGCAAUUUUUGGUCUUCAACGAGGGAUUCCUAGUAAGCACGAGUCAUCAGCUCGCAUUAACUACAUCCCUGCCCUUUGUACACACUGCUUUCCUUUGGAUCAUUGUUCUUGUUAAGGUUGACCUACAUGUAUUACCACAGCCUAACGUAUGUGUGAGGUAGUCCUUAAAUGUUUUUGAGACAUGUUUUGUUA